rnacentral:rRNA from 1 species
UACGUAGGGUGCAAGCGUUGUCCGGAAUUAUUGGGCGUAAAGAGCUCGUAGGCGGUCUGUCGCGUCGGAUGUGAAAGCCCGGGGCUUAACUCCGGGUCUGCAUUCGAUACGGGCAGGCUAGAGUUCGGUAGGGGAGAUCGGAAUUCCUGGUGUAGCGGUGAAAUGCGCAGAUAUCAGGAGGAACACCGGUGGCGAAGGCGGAUCUCUGGGCCGAUACUGACGCUGAGGAGCGAAAGCGUGGGGAGCGAACAGG